rnacentral:rRNA from 1 species
UACGGAGGAUGCAAGCGUUAUCCGGAUUUAUUGGGUUUAAAGGGUGCGCAGGCGGAAUUGUAAGUCAGUGGUGAAAUCCUACAGCUUAACUGUAGAAUUGCCAUUGAUACUGCAAAUCUAGAGUUUAGUUGAAGUGGCUGGAAUGUGUCAUGUAGCGGUGAAAUGCAAAGAGAUGACACAGAACACCAAUAGCGAAGGCAGGUCACUAAGCUAAUACUGACGCUCAGGCACGAAAGCGUGGGGAUCAAACAGG